GGCGGUGGCUUGAGGUGGACAAGGUUUGAGGUGGUUUUGGAGGUGCAGCAGGCGGACGGAUCUCGAGGGGCAGCGCCAGUUCGGAUCUUGGGACAUAGGUGGAGGUGCAGCAAUAGGCGGCUCUGGGCCGGCUCUGGUCUAGGCGCUGGGUGGAGGAGAAGCUACAGCCAUGGGAGGAAUGGAUUUAAGGUGAACGAUGGUGGCUGCCUGCGACCUCAUCUGAUGGAAGACGGUUGAUGCCGAGCGACUAGCAGCAGGUACGAGCUCGGCGGUUGCGAAAUAAGAGCAAGCAGCUGGUCCGUGACCUAUGCCCAUGGAUCGGGAAAGCUGGUCCAAAAUCUAUCCUAACCCUCCUGUGCCUCUUCCUUUUCUCUUUCACGACCUGAGAUGGGAAUCGAUUGGCGGUUGGCGGCGGCCGAUACCAAGGCUGCUAGCGCUGGUGGAGAAAAUGACCAACCGGAGGGCACCAAAGCUGACCUGAUAUGCCACAGAAUUCGUUAUGCAAUUUCUCCUCUCCAGAUUUUCCAAUUGUGCAUGGCCUAAAAGAAAUGUACAAGGUGUUCUAGCACAGCGGCUGGGCCGAUUGAAACGGCAUCUGAAUAACACAACGUAUGAGAAUAUGAAUAUUCGUUCAGAAAUUAGGAACACCAAAGAAGUGAUCUAUGGAGUGGUUGUGGGCGGAGGAGCAAGGGCUUCACAUGGCGCCCCUCCUCCAGCUCUCCAAAUUGAAUCGACCAAUCCACGCAUACGGCAAGAGGAGGCUCCAUGGCGUGGUGGUGAUGCAUGGUGCACCGGAGUUGUCCCAGGUGGUCUGCGCACGAGCGAAGUCGCUGGCCUCUACACGGGUCCAGUGCACGAGCGCGGACGAGGAGCGGCGCAAGCAAUCUUCACGAGGCACACGGCAGAAGGUUUGUUGCAGCACUGCCGGACAUCGAGGUAGUUCACACAUAUGGCAGCCCGAAGGGAGGAGGAAGGAUAAGUUGAUGUGCUUCAACCGUGGAGGCGGGCACUGGCUCGGUGCCUGGAUGGCAUCAAUGGCGUGGAGGUGAACCUUGACCGACAACGACGAAGUAGCCUGAAGGUAAUUUUCCAAUCAUGGUGACGGUGGUGGCAACGAUAGAGAGGGCCGCCUGCCACCAUGGACUGCUGUGGAUGGAGCUUUUUUCCUUGGGAUGGUGCGGCUGCUUACACCGUGGGAUAGGAAGGAUCAAAAAAAAUCUUCAAAUACAGAAGAAUUUCCUGGACAUACCAUGUGUCUUAUUCAGGUUGCAGUUUCUGUGCAAAGGAAUGCCCUCAAAAUUGAUGUCUUCUACACAAUGUGACUUUCUAAGCAGACCUAGAUACUGAGGAGGUGUAUGCAUAUAUGACUCUUCAGCCAGUAAAUACAUAUGAAAAGAAGCAUUCCGGCUGUCAGAGCUUGCACGAAAGCGAGGCCACAAGUGCAGUUCUUCUGUAAGCCGAUCACUGCGAAGUGAUGCAAGCACACAUGGAGGCUUCUCCGUGCCUUGCCGUAUUGCGGAGAAGAUAUCCCUGUCCUGGGCACAAAUGAAAUUCUUCUGUAAGCCGCACACCGUGAGUGACGCAAGCACAAAUGGAGGCUCCUCCAUGCUUCGCCAUGUUACAGAGAAAAUAUUCCAUGCUCUGAUAAGACGCAUGAGGUUUCCAAGUCUUUUACACAAUAAAACUCGUUUACCAUUUUCAGGGUACCAUUUUAAUUUCAUUAUUCUGUGCGUUAGUACUUCUCUCUGCAGCCUCCUGUCAAGAAAACUCUUUUAAUGUAAAUAUGUGCAACUCUAAAUAUACAUCACACAAGUUAAAUGGGAUUUCGUCUUAAUAUGUGUAGUUCUAAUGUUCUACGGAGUAACUAUGUUCUUUCAGUUUGUCUACUCAUCAGGUUUAAAUGCGAUUCAAAUAUGUAGCAGUAUAUGUCCUCACAUGGAAAAAGAAAGCUCUCUUUAUUAUUUCUCCAUUUGUAUCCUUCGUGCCGAAUAUCAUGAUUUUCUAUUCAUCCUUGAACCUGACUAAAAUCAGUCCAUGAUUUGAUAUUCAUACUCGAUCCAAUAGCUAUUGCCUGAAAUUCGGUGCUGCUUCUGAUUAUGGACAGUAAAGCAACUGUUUUAUUGUUUUCUUAUUUAUGAUUGUGAUGCUAUAACGAGGUGUCUGCUCCAAGGUUGACAGUUGUCAUGUUGGUCACUUUCAAGCAGAAGCAAGAUGAAAAUCGGUACUGCGUUGUGGGCUACCGCUAGAUGUGCAAGAUGUGUGUGAGCUGCUGGUUGUAACCGGCGACGGAGGUGCCGGAGACUGGUGGAGAUGACAGAAUAUGUCACUGAAUCUGUUCUACAGUAUCUCCUCUUGAUAUAAGACAAUCAUUGCCAAACCAUGUAUUAGCCCAUGCUCAGGUUUGAUUUAGAAAGUAGUCUGUUUCCGAAAUGUGUAGAUGGAUAAUUUGUUCAGAUUAUGUUCUCAAGAGUUCCUGAUUUGCUUACAUAUAAGAGUUGGGCAUAUAUACAUACAUUCUCAUGCCAAUGCAUAUAUUUGUCUUGUGAA